GACGAACGCUGGCGGCGUGCUUAACACAUGCAAGUCGAACGCUGAAGCUCAGCUUGCUGGGUGGAUGAGUGGCGAACGGGUGAGUAACACGUGAGUAACCUGCCCCCUUCUUUGGGAUAACGCCCGGAAACGGGUGCUAAUACUGGAUAUUCACUGAUCUUCGCCUGGGGGUUGGUGGAAAGGUUUUUUCUGGUGGGGGAUGGGCUCGCGGCCUAUCAGCUUGUUGGUGGGGUGAUGGCCUACCAAGGCUUUGACGGGUAGCCGGCCUGAGAGGGUGACCGGUCAGAUUGGGAGUGAGAUACGGCCCAGACUCCUACGGGAGGCAGCAGGGGAGAAUAUUGCGCAAUGGGCGAAAGCCUGAUGCAGCGCCGCCGCGUGAGGGAUGGAGGCCGUCGGGUUGUAAACCUCUUUCGCUCAUGGUCAAGCCGCAACAUUGGUUGUGGUGAGGGUAGUGGGUAAAGAAGCGCCGGCUAACUACGUG
rnacentral:rRNA from 1 species